rnacentral:lncRNA from 1 species
GUCUGAUUGGACGAGAUCCCAAACUGGGCGGGGUCUGAGCUGGGGGGGCGGGGCCGAAUUAGAUAAUACCGCAAAUCGGGCGUGGCUGGACAGAUGGGCGGGGCUUAAAAGAGCGGUGUCUGAUUGGACGUUGCUGCAAACUGGGCGUGGCCCGACGGGGGGGGGGGGCUUAACGGGGCGGGGCCUGAUUGGACGUUAGCGCAAACUGGGCGUGGCUGGACUAAUGGGCUGGUCCCGAUCGGGGGAGGGGCCUGAUUGGACACUGCCGCAAAGUGGGCGGGGCCAAAACGGAGGGGCGGGGCGGGGCAUAAUCGGGGCGGGGCGCGAUUGGGCGUUAAUCAAAGUGGGCGGGGCCAAAGCGCGCGGGGGGGCGGGGCCGGAUUGGACAUUGCGGCAAAGUGGGGCGGGGCCUGUCAUGGGCGUGGCUUGAGAGGGCGUGGCCUGAUUGGAUGUUGCCUGAAGGGGGCGGGGCCUGAAGGGGUCCUGCACACCACCAUUACAGCCCAGUGCCACCAGUACCGCCAGUAUCACCAGUGCCACCAGUAUGACCAGUACAACCCAGUACAGCCCAGUGCCACCAGUGCCACCAGUAUCACCAGUACAACCCAUAUCACCAGUAUAACCAGUGCUCCCAGUGCCACCAGUGCUCCCAGUAUCACCAGUAUCACCACCAGUAUCCCCAGUGCCACCAGUGCCACCAGUACAGCCCAGUACAACCCAGUGCCACCAGUGCCACCAGUACCACCAGGGCUCCCAGUACCACCAGUGCCACCAGUAUGACCAGUACAACCCAGUACAGCCCAGUGCCCCCAGUACCCCCAGU